UUGAGUACAAACCUUUAUAGCUAUAAGUUACACAUUAAGUUGCAAUCUGACCCGCUACCAUUAGAAUGUGACCUGCAAUCUGACCUAUGAAAUGCCACCUUGAUUUUAACCUGUUGUAAAAUACAAUGAGCUUUGCCACCCCAUACAGCAUGCAUCAAAUGACCUCUUCUUUGUGCUUUUAGAUUAGAGAUCCAUCUUCAAUAGUUAGGCUGGAAUCAAAGAAACAAAAUAUGAGGUAAUUAAGAACCAUAAACUGUAUCACAGAGCCUAACCUAUUGUUAAUCACAUUCAGGGGAUUAAUUUAGGACUCACCGGUCAAAACAUGGCCAUCAUGAAGGAUCGACUGAGGGUGAUGCUUAAGCAAACGGAUAAUUCGUAUGCUUGUGUUGCUGAAAGUGAAACCCGCUUCACCCUUAAUGAAUACAAACCUUUAUAGCUAUAAGUUACACAUUAAGUUGCAAUCUGACCCGCUACCAUUAGAAUGUGACCUGCAAUCUGACCUAUGAAAUGCCACCUUGAUUUUAACCUGUUGUAAAAUACAAUGAGCUUUGCCACCCCAUACAG
rnacentral:lncRNA from 1 species